UACGUAGGGUGCGAGCGUUAAUCGGAAUUACUGGGCGUAAAGCGUGCGCAGGCGGUUCGCUGUGUCCGGUGUGAAAGCCCCGGGCUUAACCUGGGAAUGGCAUGGGAAACUGGCGGGCUGGAGUGUGGCAGAGGGGGGUGGAAUUCCGCGUGUAGCAGUGAAAUGCGUAGAGAUGCGGAGGAACACCGAUGGCGAAGGCAGCCCCCUGGGCUAACACUGACGCUCAGGCACGAAAGCGUGGGGAGCAAACAGG
rnacentral:rRNA from 1 species